AAUGAACGCUGGCGGCAGGCCUAACACAUGCAAGUCGAACGAGGCAGCAAUGCCUAGUGGCGGACGGGUGAGUAACGCGUGGGAACGUGCCCCUUGGUACGGAAUAGCCCUGGGAAACUGGGAGUAAUACCGUAUGUGGUCGAGAGACGAAAGAUUUAUCGCCAAGGGAUCGGCCCGCGUUGGAUUAGGUAGUUGGUGGGGUAAUGGCCUACCAAGCCGACGAUCCAUAGCUGGUUUGAGAGGAUGAUCAGCCACACUGGGACUGAGACACGGCCCAGACUCCUACGGGAGGCAGCAGUGGGGAAUCUUAGACAAUGGGGGAAACCUUGAUCUAGCCAUGCCGCGUGAUCGAUGAAGGCCUUAGGGUUGUAAAGAUCUUUCAGUGGGGAAGAUAAUGACGGUACCUGGAGAAUAAGCUCCGGCUAACUCCGUGCCAGCCGCCGCCGUAA
rnacentral:rRNA from 1 species